rnacentral:misc_RNA from 1 species
UUAUUUUAUUUUAUUUUAUUUUGUGAUUUAGGUUUUAUUUCUCCUUACUAAAUUUCUCUAAGUUUGAUCUUGCUGAAUGAAAAUAUUAACUAUCAAGAGAAGAAUUAUGCAGUAUUAGAAGAGGAUUAAACUUUGAAACUAUAUUCAUCUUAGAAUUUUGAAGUUUAAAAAUUUUAUUAGGCUUAGAAUUCAUUAUUUAUUAAUUUUAUUAUAUUUGUUAUUAUUUUCCUAAUUUAAGAUUGUAACACUCUAGUUAAAAAAAAAAAA